rnacentral:rRNA from 1 species
UACGGGGGGGGCAAGCGUUGUUCGGAAUUACUGGGCGUAAAGGGCGCGUAGGCGGUUCGCUAAGUUGAAUGUGAAAACUCUGGGCUUAACCCAGAGCCUGCAUUCAAUACUGGCGGGCUAGAGUUCUGGAGGGAUAGGCGGAAUUCCUGGUGUAGCGGUGAAAUGCGCAGAGUAUCAGGAGGAACACCGGUGGCGAAGGCGGGUCUCGUGGGCCGGUACUGGACGCUGGAGACGCGAAAGCGUGGGGAGCGAACAGGAU